rnacentral:lncRNA from 1 species
UUAGGAUCUGGAUCCUGCCCUCGUCGUGUCACAAUUGCCAUCUCAGCUGCUUUCUGGGCUCUGCAUCCCUCUUGUUGCCUCUUUAGGUGGUACUGAUCCAGUAAGAAACAAAAUUACCUUACCAGAGCAUUAGACAUCUGUUUCCAUGGAAACAGAGAAGGAUGGGAGAGAAGCACUGGAAAGGCUAGGGAGUACCAUAGCCUUGGAAGGACCUUCUUUCAUCUGAGAAAUAAAAUUCACCUUUAUAAUCUCCUCUCCUAAUUCUACCUUACCCGAACUGACAUUAAAGUGGUGAAGCCCUUGAGUGCUUUGAUACAGAGUUGCAUCAACUUAAAUGGAAUUAAUUCUCUACCAUCACUUGCAUUAAGUAGGAGGAAUUCAACCAACCUUUGAACUUGAAGAGUGUAAUCAACAAGUUGGAAACACAGCGAUAGUUUCUCCAAGAUCUUCA